UCGGCGCAGAGAUGCGUUUUCCCUUGUGGUUGGUGUACAGGUGGUGCAUGGUUGUCGUCAGCUCGUGUCGUGAGAUGUUGGGUUAAGUCCCGCAACGAGCGCAACCCUUGUCUUAUGUUGCCAGCACGUGAUGGUGGGGACUCAUGAGAGACUGCCGGGGUUAACUCGGAGGAAGGUGGGGAUGACGUCAAAUCAUCAUGCCCCUUAUGUCCAGGGCUUCACACAUGCUACAAUGGUCGGUACAACGCGUGUGCGACACUGUGAGGUGAAGCUAAUCGCUCUAAAGCCGGUCGUAGUUCGGAUUGGGGUCUGCAACUCGACCCCAUGAAGUCGGAGUCGCUAGUAAUCGCAGAUCAGCAACGCUGCGGUGAAUACGUUCCCGGGCCUU
rnacentral:rRNA from 1 species